AUUGUCCACUGGGGGUGCAUUUGCUGAGAAGGCUGAGCCUAACCCUUUUACCUGAUCUGGUUAAUGCCAGCGUAGGGAAUGUGGGAUCGCAUCCCG
rnacentral:ncRNA from 2 species